rnacentral:tRNA from 1 species
GGGUAUAUAGCUCAGUGGUAGAGCACAUGCUUAGCAUGCACGAGGUCCUGGGUUCAAUCCCCAGUGACUCCU